rnacentral:rRNA from 1 species
ACCUGGCGACGAGUGGCGAACGGGUGAGUAAAGUAUCGGAACGUGCCCAAUAGUGGGGGAUAGCCCGGCGAAAGCCGGAUUAAUACCGCAUGAGACCUGAGGGUGAAAGCGGGGGACUCGCAAGAGCCUCGCGCUACUGGAGCGGCCGAUAUCAGAUUAGGUAGUUGGUGGGGUAAAAGCCUACCAAGCCGACGAUCUGUAGCUGGUCUGAGAGGACGACCAGCCACACUGGGACUGAGACACGGCCCAGACUCCUACGGGAGGCAGCAGUGGGGAAUUUUGGACAAUGGGCGCAAGCCUGAUCCAGCCAUGCCGCGUGCGGGAAGAAGGCCUUAGGGUUGUAAAGCUCUUUUGGCGGGGACGAUGAUGACGGUACCCGCAGAAUAAGCCCCGGCUAACUUCGUGCCAGCAGCCGCGGUAAU